CCCCACCAGUGCUGAGUACGUGGGGCAAAGGUUUAGUGCAUGGUGAGAUAUCAGACUGGCACCCUGUUACUAGUGGGUUCUGCAGGGCUCCAUUCUUGGCCCUGUGCUUUUCAAGAUCUCUCUUAAUGGCUUGGAUGCAGGACUGGAAGGAAUACUAAGCAAGUUUGCAGACAGUGUAUGUUGCAAUGCUGAGCUUCUCAACACCUUGAUGAUAAGAUGGCCAAAAGACACAACACCUCAAGAGCAUCUUCUGCCAGUUCUGCAUUUGUACCAGUCACGUAUGGCCUACUCACCAGCAUAGCAAAAUGCUAUGAAAGAAUCAAAUAAAAGAGAGUGGAAAAUGUCUUACACAGCUCUUUGUCACCCACAGUGUGCACCAAGGAAGAAAAAUUUUGCUGAGAGAA